GACGAACGCUGGCGGCGUGCUUAACACAUGCAAGUCGAACGGUGAAGCGCCUUCCUUUUUGGUGGGUGUGGAUGAGUGGCGAACGGGUGAGUAACACGUGAGUAACCUGCCCCCUUCUUCUGGAUAACCGCAUGAAAGUGUGGCUAAUACGGGAUAUUCUGGGUCUGUCGCAUGAUGGGUCUGGGAAAGAUAUUGUUUCGGUGGGGAUGGGCUCGCGGCCUAUCAGCUUGUUGGUGGGGUGAUGGCCUACCAAGGCGGUGACGGGUAGCCGGCCUGAGAGGGUGGACGGUCACACUGGGACUGAGACACGGCCCAGACUCCUACGGGAGGCAGCAGUGGGGAAUAUUGCACAAUGGGCGCAAGCCUGAUGCAGCGACGCCGCGUGAGGGAUGGAGGCCUUCGGGUUGUGAACCUCUUUCGCCAGUGAAGCAGGCCUGCCUCGUUUGUGGGUGGGUUGACGGUAGCUGGAUAAGAAGCGCCGGCUAACUACGUG
rnacentral:rRNA from 1 species